UACUCCUACGGGAGGCAGCAGUCGGGAAUUUUGCGCAAUGGAGGAAGCUCUGACGCAGUGACGCCGCGUGCAGGAAGAAGGUUUUCGGAUUGUAAACUGCUUUAGACAGGGAAGAAAAAGGACAGUACCUGUAGAAUAAGCUCCGGCUAACUACGUGCCAGCAGCCGCGGUAAU
rnacentral:rRNA from 1 species